UCUUAUCAGAUGCAUCAGAAUGAAGAUAAAUGGCAUGACUUUUUGAAGAAGGAAGUCCAGCACUUCAUCCUUACCAGAUCAGAUAACAAGACUUGAGACCUGUUUCAGCUUCAGUUGAAAGGUAUCACCAAUAGGAAAAGGAAAUUCAAGAGUCAAGAGUGUUUCAGGAGCAAAUGCCUUGAAACCAAAAACCUAGAGAAGGCUGCCCCCUACUGACCACAAAUCUUGUUUCAGCGCUGUGAGUUUUGACUUUUUCACACUCAAUUUUUAUAUGUAUGCCCACUUAUUACUGAUAUAAAGGUGACUAUGUGGUUGUUGAUUAGAAACCACUAUACUCUCAACCAGCACAACAUAAGCAAGAUUGUGUGAUUGACCAUUCUAGCUGGUCUGCGCAGUUGGGGAUAGGUAACCUGAGAGUACAUCAACUGUUUAAGAGGACAUGUUUAUAAGCCACCUUGGGUGACAAAAUAAACUGAAAAACCAGAGUUACUACAUAUAAAUGUAAUAAACUCCUCUUUACACUGUAAUAC